GUAGAGGAUGCUAUUGGGUAGCCACCGGUCUAAGUCCCCUGGAACGGGGCGUCGCAGAGGGUGAGAAUCCCGUAUGUGACCGGAAGGGCGCCCUCCACAUAGCUCCUUCGACGAGUCGAGUUGUUUGGGAAUGCAGCUCUAAAUGGGAGGUAAAUUCCUUCUAAAGCUAAAUACCGGCCAGAGACCGAUAGCGCACAAGUAGAGUGAUCGAAAGAUGAAAAGCACUUUGGAAAGAGAGUUAAAAAGCACGUGAAAUUGUUGAAAGGGAAGCGCUUGCAACCAGACUUGUUGGCGGUGUUCCGCCGGUCUUCUGACCGGUGUACUCACCGUCUGCAGGCCAGCAUCAUCUGGGGCCGCCGGAUAAAAGCGGGGGGAAUGUGGCUCUUCCGGGAGUGUUAUAGCCCCUCGUGCAAUACGGCGUGCCUCGGGUGAGGUCCGCGCUUCGGCUAGGAUGCUGGCGUAAUGGUCGUAAGCGGCCCGUCUUGAAACACGGACCAAGGAGUCUAACAUCUAUGCGAGUGUUCGGGUGCCAAACCCCUACGCGUAAUGAAAGUGAACGGAGGUGGGAGCCUUAGGGUGCACCAUCGACCGAUCCUGAUGUCUUCGGAUGGAUUUGAGUAAGAGCAUAGCUGUUGGGACCCGAAAGAUGGUGAACUAUGCCUGGAUAGGGUGAAGCCAGAGGAAACUCUGGUGGAGGCUCGCAGCGGUUCUGACGUGCAAAUCGAUCGUCAAAUUUGGGUAUAGGGGCGAAAGACUAAUCG
rnacentral:rRNA from 1 species